rnacentral:rRNA from 1 species
GACGAACGCUGGCGGCGUGCUUAACACAUGCAAGUCGUACGGUAAGGCCCUUUCCUGGGUACACUAGUGUCGAACGGGGGAGUAACACUUGAGUAACCUGCCCACAACUUUGGGAUAACGCUAAGAUACUGGUGCUGAUACUAGAUAUGUACUCCUGCUGCAAGGGGGUGGUUGGAAAGCUCCGGCGGUUGUUGAUGGACUCGCGGCCUAUCAGCUUGUUGGUGGGGUAGUGGCCUACCAAAGCGGCUACGGGUGGCAGGCCUGAGAGGGUGACCGGCGACAUUGGGACUGAGAUACGGCCCAGACUCCUACGGGAGGCAGAAGGGGGGAAUAUUGAACAAUGGGCGCAAGCCUGAUGAAGCAACGCCGCGUGCGGGAUGACGGCCUUAGGGUUGUAAACCGUUUUCAGCAGGGACGAAGCUUUUUGUGACGGUACCUGAAGAAGAAGCACCGGCUAACUACGUG